UACAGAGGAGCCAAGCGUUGUCCGGAUUGACUGGGCGUAAAGCGCACGCAGGCGGGUGCGCGCGUGGGGUGUGAAAUCUGGGCCGCUUAACGGGCCCAGGGCGCCAUCCCCAUACGGCGCGCCCUGGAGCCCUUGCAGAGGUCGGGUGGAAUUGCCCGGGUGUAGUGGGUGAAAUGCGUUAGAGAUCGGGCAGGGAACACCCAGGGGGAA
rnacentral:rRNA from 1 species